rnacentral:rRNA from 1 species
CUACGGGCGGCAGCAGUUAGGCAUAAUCUACAAUGCACGAAAGUGUGAUAGUUUGAGUCAGAGUGCGUUUCUUUGAAAUGCUUUUGUGAAAUGUAAAAAGUUUCACGAAUAAGGACUGGGUAAGACUAGUGCCAGCCGCCGCGGUAAUACUAGCGGUCCGAGUCGCAGCCAUUUUAUUGGGUCUAAAACAUCCGUAGCUUGCUUUUUAAGUUCCUUGUGAAAUUUUAUAUCUCAAGUAUAGAGCGCGCAAGGAGUACUGGAAAGCUAGAGAGUGGGAGACGUAACGAGUACGUUCAAGGUAGCGGUUAAAUGUGUUAAUCUUGAACAGACUAACAAUAGCGAAGGCACGUUACGAGAACAGUUCUGACAGUAAGGGAUGAAGGCUAGGGGCGCAAAACGGAUUAGAUACCCGUGUAGUC